GAGAGAUUUUGGGACCUUGGGCAAAACACACGUCUCAGAGACCUCUCACCCAUGGUUGAAAGAAUUUGAAUAUUUACCCACCAACUUCCAUCUGUCAUUAUUCCUGGUCACUAACACAAUAGGGUUGGGGGGCAAAGUGGUCUCCAGAUGCAGAAGAAAACCUCUAGGCAAAGAAAUACAGGUGCUGGUGGUUAGAAAUGGGGCCCUGUGUGGUAGUAGGGGUGAGGGAGUUUGGCUGGGGAAGGGACAGGUGACUUGCAUGGGAUAACAAUAUGAUUUUUUAAAUAAAUAUUUUAUUUGGUAUUAAUUUCAGGUUUACAGAAAAGUUGCAAAGACUGUAAAGCCCUGUAGAGUUCCUGUAUAGCCCUUGUCCAGUUUCCCCCAAUAUUAACAUCCACAAUCAUGGUAUAUUCGUCAAAACUAAAAAAAAAAAAAAAAAAAAAAAAAAAAAAAACCCAAUUAGUUUAACGCUAUUAACUAAACCUCCAGAGUUUAUUCAGAUUUUCUUGGUGUUUCCACUAAUGUCCUUUUCCUAUUCCAGAAUUCAGUCCAGAAUAUCACCUUGGAUUUAUUUAAAACAUAAAUACUCUGCAUACACUCUUUUAUUUGGGUCCUCUUAUAUGUUCAACCAACUAAUCUUUAUAAUGAACUAGUAAGCUCUGUGAGUGAAAAUACAAUGAUAUUCAUGUCCCGUAACAGAUUGGACACAGGGUAUGGUCUUAAAACAAAUAUAUCAAAACAACAAUAAGAACACAAUUUUAUUCAAUAGGCGUAUAUAUGUAUAGCUGAGCCUCCAUCAGUUAGCAAAGAAGUACUCAUACCAGUGUGACACCUUGGAAGAAAUUUAACUUUGAACAUGUGUCUUGAACAUCAAAUAUGAAGCAGGACCCCCUAAAUCAGACACAACCCAGUCCUUUCAGUGUGCUUAGCUUUGUCUGGACAUGUCACAUUUAAUCCUUCUAACUGUGAAUCACAUGGCCUUAAGCACCUGAGAUGCAUGAGGGAACAAAAUUUGGAGAAGUUACUUGCCCAAGAAUUUACAGGUGGUACAUGACACAACUAAAAUCAAGACACAUGUUUUCUGGCUUCAGAGCCUCCACUUUAAAUAUUAAACACCUUCCUCCCACACCUCUCCAUUAGCCCAACUCUUUCCUUUGGUGCCUUUUGGCAUGCCAUCUUUGACAAAUCUGUGUUGUGAAGCAGGCAUGCUUUUCGUCUUCGUAGGCUGGUUUAAUCAUCAGCCUUGGAUCUGUGGAUUAUUUUCAGAGCCUACCUUUUAUUUGUAAAACCUGUUAUCUUGAUAUCCACAUACAUUGACCAUAAAAUGCAUCAGAAAGUCACUCCAUACUCUAGUACUAAAGAUUUGAUCCAGGGCUAGUAAUAUAGGCUUGGAAGCAUGCAGUUCUAAAGAGCAAGCAUUGAUGUUGUGUAAUAAUUCAAAUAUUUCAUUAUUUUAUGUGUUUGAGUUUGGAUAGUUAACCUCCAUUUCUCAGUCUUUCCAUAGUUACUGUCUUUUUAAAAAUACAUUAACAUGAGGGAAAUGAAAUAUUCAGUGAAAUCUUUGAUCUCAAUACUUGCAGUGGCUCAACUGAAAAUUACUGUUGGUUGCCUUGAAACUCAGGGCAUGAAAUUCAGAAGAAGAAAUUCUUAUAAAUUGUUCAAGAUUUGACUCUGGGAAGAUAAACUACAUGGAUAUCUAGGCUAACCAGUGCUGAAAUUUCUCUAACCUCUAAUUCUAAAUUCAGAAAAGAAUAGGCUUUGAGGUUUUUUGUUUAUUUUUGCUUUGAUUACAAGUUGUUGGAAGCUUAGAGUUAGUAUCUAAUAACACAAUCCAUGUAAAACACAAAUUAUUGGCUCAGAAUGAGAUCUAACUUCUAUGAAGACAUAAAGGGACAAUCAUGUAAAAAUGAGCUUUUUUUUUCUUAGAAGGAAUAAGCAGGGAUUGACUAAGAGGUAAUCCUUCCAGAUUCUAACGUUUAAAGCAUUGCACAUUUUUAAGGGAGAAAAAGCAUUACCUUUCCAAGCAUACAUAUGAAACUGUUUUCUUUAUGUAAAUGGCUACAUUAGGUUGCAUGGUUUUAAAACUUGACCUUUGAUUAGUCAAAGGAACAUCUGACCUUUGACCUUUUUUGGUGCUAGAGCACAAUUGUUCGGAGAGAUCUGCAAACUGAGCUCCAGCAAGCCCCCUCAGGUUGAAGGAACAGCCUCUCUUCUUAAAAUUGGCACGCAAAAACAAGAAUGUUUUAUUUAUUUCUAUAGACUGCUUUUCUGACCUUCUUCUCUUUAGGAAGCCCUCAGAUUUCUAGAGGAAAAAUUAGCUUUUCUGUGUCACAUCAGCUUUUCUCUAAAUUCAGAUUUCCUUUCAUAGGGGCAAGCUUGUAAGCUCCUACAGGGCAAAGGACUGGGGAUUCGCUACCUGGUAGGCACUCAGACGUUCUCCUCACAAUUACUGUUGUAUGAGCAAUAUUAAGAAACUGCUUACUAUGACCAGGGGCUAUUUCAAGGCCUUUUUAAUGUUCUGUUAUUUAAUCCAUUUAACCCCAUACAAAAUGCCUAUGAGCCACCUGAUUCUACAUUUGGUGAAACUAUGGCAUAGGGAAGUUAAUGAUUUAUGCAAGGAGCCACAGCUGGUACGUAGCAAGGUCAAGAUUCAAACACAGAUCUUCCUAGUUCCAAAUAUGGCUAACUCACAUGCUUGUAGCCACUGCCUAUGUGGUGGUUUUAAGAAUAUAUCCAAAUAAAAAUAUAUCCACACAUUCUUUGCUACUCUUCCCAUCAAGAAGUGGAGUCCAGGUUUCCCUCCCCUUGAGUCUGGGAUGGACUUAGUGACUCAUUUCUAAUGAACAGAAUAAAGUGGAAGUGAAGAUGUGCAACUUUGGAGACCACAACAUUCAAAGGCACUGUGGCUUCUGUUAUGGUUGCUGUCUUUUGGAUCAUUCACUCUAGGGGAAACCAACAGCUGUGUUUUGAGCUGCCCUGUGGAGAGGCCUGUGUGGGAAAAAAGUGAGGAAGUCCCAUGGCCAGUGUGGACUGAAGAACUCAGGCCCUCUAAUCCAGUAGCCAGUGUGAAACUGAAGUCUCUUGACAACCACCAUAGCCUUUAGUGCCAGUCCACCCUCAGAAUGACUGCAGUCCCAUCCCCGCUAACAACUUGACUACAACCUCAUGCAGACCCUGAGCCAGAAUCACCCAGCUAAGCCUCUUCUGAGUCCCUGCCCCCAGACUAUAAGAUAAUGUAUGUUCAUUGUUUUAAACUGCUAAUUUUUGAGUUAACUGGUUAUGCGGUAAUAGAUAACUGAGACAGCCAAACACUGCCUUGCUCAUUUAAAAAAAAUUGUCUUAAUUUCAUUCAACCUUAAAUUUUGAAAUAUUGAUACAGCUAGGAGAAAUUUUCCAGGAAAAAAAAAAUGCUGCCAAAUGUUAGUAAAAUGUAUGUGUUCCAUUGCGCCACAAUGGGAACUCCUUGAGUAAAAUUCUAAUGCCCAGGUCAUGUAAUAGUUGUAAUGACUUUCCUGGGAUUUGGGAUUUUGUAAUUUACAGGACAACUGCUUUAAAAAUCCAUGAUUUAAAUGAUUUAAAAAGGAAAGAUAUUAAUAAUAACCACAUUGUUAAAGAUAGCAUUUUGAACUUUUAAAAAAAUCCUCGUGGGAAAACUCAGGAAAUAUUUUGUUUAGUAAGUUAUCACUCAUAAUCUUAAGUUGUCAGAAGCAUGCUUGCACUUUACAUUAUUUAAAGAGGAAUAUAAAACAAAGUUGAAUUUUAACCUCUUCCCUGGUGAUUUCAUUCAGCUUUUCAAAGGGGGUCCUAAAAGCUCACAGGUCAAGCCAUGUCUUGGUUUGCUCUGCCUGACAAUUUGCAUUAACUCUGCUUUAUGGCCACUUGCAGUUUAAUAAAUUACUUGGACUUUGAUUACUAUCUUUUGAGCUUAAGCCCAAGAAUUUGUAUAAGGCUUUGGGAUACAGUACUUAUUUAGAGAUGCACUCUGAGAGCUGGGAGGUUUAGUACAUGUAUAGAUAUUGAACUUGGAGCUUUUUAAGUUCUUACAGAAGAUCUCAAAUGAUUUGCCUUUUAAAUCAUAUAUUUAUAAAAUGAUUUAAGUAAAUUAAGGAACUCAUUCAUGAAGUGGACAUGGUUAGUUCUUUUUUCAUAUUCAGAGUGAAUAUAAGGUAGAGAUGCUGGUUUUCCUUCUCUAAGCUAGAGAACACAGGUCAGACCCUGCUGGUUCUUCCCUUUCAAAGUUUUUUCCUCCAUGCAGUUUGCACCCUGAAAAAUUGUAAAAAUACACUUUUUAUAUUGACCUGGACUUGGUAAUAUAUGCUUGACCUUGAUUCAUGGGUUUGUGUUGCAAGGGAGGAUAAAGAUGAAUAUUGAUAGCCUGAGUAUAAAGAUCCACCAUUACCAUAAUUAUUCAUUCACUCACUCACAGAGUCACUCAUUAAUUCAGUCUGUGCUUUGCCCAGCAGAGCAGGGGGCUAGGUGCUGGAAAGCUAUGAUAAGCAACUCAGAAAUAGCCUCUGUCUCAUAGGAGUUCAUGGACUAGAGUGGAGAAGGGCAUCAACCAAGUAAAAUUAAAAACAGUUUGAAGUACCACAGAAUAAAUGUAUAAGGGAAUCUGACCCAUGCUGGGGCUUGGUGGUUAGGGAAAUCUUUCCAAAGAAGACGUUUGAAAGUUAAAGGAGUAGAAGUGACAGGAAGAAAGAGCAAUCUAGGCAGAGGUAACAGGAGCCAGGAAGGUAUCCAGUACUGUUCAGACUUGAAAAUAAUCAGUGUAGCCAGAGCUCAGAGUGAGGAGCAUGGCCUAUGAAGAGGCCAGAGAAGUAAGCAGGGGCUGUAUCUGACAUGGUCUUGCAAGCUCAGUGUAGGCUUUAUUAAUAGAAAGAACAAUAGAAAAUCAUUAAAGGUUUGGAAGCAAAGGGGGUGACAUAAUCAGGUUUGCAUUUUAAGGAGGUCGCAUGGCUCUGUGAUGAAGAAUGGGUGGAGAGGGAGUGAAAAGAGGUGUUUGGGGAGAUGGUGUAUCAGGCUGUGGGGGCCAGAAAUGUUGGUAGCGUGGACCAGAGUAGUGGUGGUAAAGGUGGAGGGGAGUGGAGAGAGUUCUCAAUAUUUAUGGUUAAUAGAUUUACCACUUACUUAUGAAGGAAAAGUAGACUAGACUUCGUGCUGCCUUGGCUAUGGCUGGAGGAGGAGCACCAUGGAAAACCUCCAGGGCUUUGGCUUCUUCAGGUGAAUGGGGAACGCUGGAGGGAGACCAGUUAGAGGUUAGGAGGAGGUCGUUUAGUUUGGGGAUAUUUUCAAUUGGAGGCCUUUUUAAGACAUCCAUAAGGAAACUCAGUGCCAUUUUGGUCCUGGAUUGGAAGUAUCUGGAGACAUAAAUUUGGAAGUCAGUGUUACAGGGCUGAAGGCACAAAGUUAUCCCUCUGAGAUUACAGAGUGAAGAUGGAGUGAGAGAGAGAAGAAAGCAUAGGUCUGAGCUAUGAGGAAUUCCAGCAUUUGAAACCUCAGUGGAGCAGAAGUUGACAAAGGAGUGGAAAAUGUGACAGGGAAGAUGCAAGGGUAUCAUCUCAGAGAUCAGGGAAAGAGAAUCACUUAAGAUGCCCAUGAGGGGUAAAGUAUAAAAGGUCCUGUAAAUGUCCUUUGGGUUAGUAUGGAUUUCUUGAAGGGCUUGAAAGAGAGCCAAGUUGGUGUAGUGAUGGAGGCAGAGGCCAGAAUGAAGUAUCAUGAGGAGUGGCUGAGAAGUGAAGAAAGGGAGACAGUCAAGGGAAACAGAAGGCUAGAAUUUUACCUAUAAGAGAAAAUAGAAUUAAGGGAGAGGUUUCUAAAGAGGGGAAACCUGAACUCGUUUAAGGAAAGAGCAAUGGGGAGAAUAAGGGGAUAGCUUGAAGCUAGAGAGAGGAUGGGUGAUUAAUUGUGUAGGAUUCCCAAGAAGGUAGAAGUGGUUGUGUUCAGAGAAGAGCUGGAGGAACUGGAGAGGAGGGGAGUUCCUGCCCUUCAGUGCUAGGAAGAAAGAAGAAGGAAUGCCUACAGAUGCCAAGGUGCGGUAGCCUCAAGUUAACAAAGUUUCUAUUUCAUGGUUUUCAUCUGCUUUGGAAAAUAGCCAAAUGGGAGGGAGAAAGGGAUGGCGUCCUGGCAAAGAAAGGAGGUCAUUUCAGAUUUUUUAGGAGGACAGAAGAGGUGUGAAUGUGAAAGGGAGUAAAUUAUAAGACUCCAUAGGAUUGCUAGUCAUUACUGGAGGGCCCAGUUGAGGUUGAUGAUCACAAAUUCAUGUGAUCCACUGUUAAAAGGAUUAUAAAGUAUUUGGUCCUUUCUGGAGGUGUUCAGCUCUUUACUGAGCACAGAGAAAGUGGGGUCAUCUAGGCCUAUGAUUUUGUCAGAGAGAAAUAACAAAAAGACAGCAACAGCAAGGGAGCCAUUGAAAUGAUAAACCAGGAAUAUAAGCUGGUUAAGAAAAAAAAAAAAAAAA
rnacentral:lncRNA from 1 species